GUAUGGAAAACCCACAAUUAAAGAAAUGAAAUACGGCUAAUACCUGAGGUCGAAAGGCCGGUAUGGAAACCCCCGUAUUAUCUAUUGGCCAAAUUUGAUGAACAGGUUCCAAAAAUCAAAGUCUAUUGCUAUCAGUCAAGUACCACACUUCAAGGGUACCCGAUAAAGAGAAGGAUUUCAAAGAAAAGGAUCACGAAUGAAGUUAUAGAUGUGAUAUUGUACUUAUUGAAUGGAUAAUGUGUUAUGUGAUUGAUAUAUUGCUAUUACAUCAGUUUCAACUUGCUGAGCCAUUAGCUCAUUAGGUUCUUAUGAUGCAGGUAAUGAUGUACAUGUUUAGAAGUUGACCUAGCCAAGAGCGGCUAGUCAGAUAUUUGUUCAUAUGCCAUGCUUCGAGCCAUUUUUGUAGCCGAGCAGAAACUCUGAUUUCAUUUUGUUAGCCGCUCUAUUAUGGUUUUUGUACAAUGUAAUUUUGUAAACAAUGAAUAUAUAUAUGUACGGAUUUUGAGAAAGUACUAAGUUUGAUUUCUUUUCAAAGCAUAUAACGUAUUUUUGUAUUAAAACCAUAAUGUUUAAGUAUAUAUAUAAAAAGCUUAGCAUCCCUAACUUAAUGGCGGUGAUCCGAUUGGAUUCUGCUGUUAGGUUGUGCGGUGUUACAUUUUUGGUAUCAGAGCGGAGGUUUAAAAUCUUUUCUGAAGACAGAAGAAGGCAUAUGAACAUACUUUGGCUGGGAAGCUAGGUUAACUCUUUUCUUAUUUACCUAUGUGUUUAAUUUAUAUGUUGCAUAGCAAAUAUCCAGAAUUGUUCGGUACGUCAAAUUUCGAGGGCGAAAUUUUAUAAGGAGGGAAGAAUUGUAAUGCCCAACCAUCCAUACAUGGCCAAUAAUAAGCAUAUUGCAUCAAUGCAUAUAGUUAUAAUUCAUUAUUCAUGAUGCAUGAUCACGACUACUUGCUACACAUGUGCCUUAAUUGUGUUUUAAUACGUGAUCGAAUACUUUUCUUAAACUGUGAUAAUAUAUGAUACAUGUUAUUGAACUUCUACUUUAUGAUUUAACAUUAACUUAAAUGAUUUAUUGUAGUGAGAAGUUAAGUUUCUCGCUAAACGGUGAUAUAUUUGUCUUAGAUGCAUUUCUGCAUUUUAAUUAUGAUUAAUUACAUAUGUAAUUAUUUGAAGUAACUCAUACUAGACUAAAACCAAAAGUAUGCAAAAUGGUGCAUUUUGAUUGGUUGGUUGACUAGGUUGCACGAGACCAUUCUGAAAUUGUUUACACUUGAUUAUAAUGAGUAUGCAUCAGCCCAUUUCUUAUCUCAAGCUAUAAAAACGUGGAGGAACCACAAGAAUCCAGCAAAUACAAGCCUUCCAAUCACCAUCCUCCAUUUGGCCUUGUUGGGAAUGGGUAGAUAAGUGAAGACUUUGUGUUUUGGUCUUCAUUUUCACUUGUCUUCUUCCAAAAAUGACCAGACCUAUUUCCUUAAUUUUGUCUUCAUAUUUCUUCACUUCCAUACUCACAUAAGAGAGCAUCAAACCAUAAAAACUCAUAGAAGUAGAGCUAGAACAAGUUCUGCACCUUUUCUAGCUGAAAAUCCUAUGUUUUGAAGUUGAAUUCAUCUCUAAUCAAGGCUUCUAGCACACCUUAUCUAAAACUGAUCCUUUCAUUUCAUAAACCAUUAUUGAUCUUGAGGUAAGUUGAAGCUUUCAUUUGCACAUCGUAAGAACCUAAUUAUGUGCGCUUUAAUGUGACUUUUGCUAUGUAUUCUCUAUAAUGUUUGAAUGAUUGAUGAGUCAUAGUGAUAUGAAAGAAUAUGUUUUGAAAAUGGGAGUAUGGUACUUGAUUGAUGGUCGAGUAGGCAAGGGACGCAGGAGGAACCGGCGGACCCAACACAUGGUGGCAAAUACCUGAGGUCGAAAGACCAGUAUGGAAAACCCACAAUUAAAGAAAUGAAAUACGGCUAAUACCUGAGGUCGAAAGGCCGGUAUGGAAACCCCCGUAUUAUCUAUUGGCCAAAUUUGAUGAACAGGUUCCGAAAAUCAAAGUCUAUUGCUAUCAGUCAAGUACCACACUUCAAGGGUACCCGAUAAAGAGAAGGAUUUCAAAGAAAAGGAUCACGAAUGAAGUUAUAGAUGUGAUAUUGUACUUAUUGAAUAGAUAAUGUGUUAUGUGAUUGAUAUAUUGCUAUUACAUCAGUUUCAACUUGCUGAGCCAUUAGCUCAUUAGGUUCUUAUGAUGCAGGUAAUGAUGUACAUGUUUAGAAGUUGACCUAGCCAAGAGCGGCCAGUCAGAUAUUUGUUCAUAUGCCAUGCUUCGAGCCAUUUUUGUAGCCGAGCAGAAACUCUGAUUUCAUUUUGUUAGCCGCUCUAUUAUGGUUUUUGUACAAUGUAAUUUUGUAAACAAUGAAUAUAUAUAUGUACGGAUUUUGAGAAAGUACAAAGUUUGAUUUCUUUUCAAAGCAUAUAACGUAUUUUUGUAUUAAAACCAUAAUGUUUAAGUAUAUAUAUAA
rnacentral:lncRNA from 1 species